UUAAGCGACUAAGCGUACACGGUGGAUGCCCUGGCAGUCAGAGGCGAUGAAGGACGUGCUAAUCUGCGAUAAGCGUCGGUAAGGUGAUAUGAACCGUUAUAACCGGCGAUUUCCGAAUGGGGAAACCCAGUGUGAUUCGUCACACUAUCAUUAACUGAAUCCAUAGGUUAAUGAGGCGAACCGGGGGAACUGAAACAUCUAAGUACCCCGAGGAAAAGAAAUCAACCGAGAUUCCCCCAGUAGCGGCGAGCGAACGGGGAGCAGCCCAGAGCCUGAAUCAGUGUGUGUGUUAGUGGAAGCGUCUGGAAAGGCGCGCGAUACAGGGUGACAGCCCCGUACACAAAAAUGCACAUGCUGUGAGCUCGAUGAGUAGGGCGGGACACGUGGUAUCCUGUCUGAAUAUGGGGGGACCAUCCUCCAAGGCUAAAUACUCCUGACUGACCGAUAGUGAACCAGUACCGUGAGGGAAAGGCGAAAAGAACCCCGGCGAGGGGAGUGAAAAAGAACCUGAAACCGUGUACGUACAAGCAGUGGGAGCACAGAGCAAUCUGUGUGACUGCGUACCUUUUGUAUAAUGGGUCAGCGACUUAUAUUCUGUAGCAAGGUUAACCGAAUAGGGGAGCCGAAGGGAAACCGAGUCUUAACUGGGCGUUAAGUUGCAGGGUAUAGACCCGAAACCCGGUGAUCUAGCCAUGGGCAGGUUGAAGGUUGGGUAACACUAACUGGAGGACCGAACCGACUAAUGUUGAAAAAUUAGCGGAUGACUUGUGGCUGGGGGUGAAAGGCCAAUCAAACCGGGAGAUAGCUGGUUCUCCCCGAAAGCUAUUUAGGUAGCGCCUCGUGAAUUCAUCUCCGGGGGUAGAGCACUGUUUCGGCAAGGGGGUCAUCCCGACUUACCAACCCGAUGCAAACUGCGAAUACCGGAGAAUGUUAUCACGGGAGACACACGGCGGGUGCUAACGUCCGUCGUGAAGAGGGAAACAACCCAGACCGCCAGCUAAGGUCCCAAAGUCAUGGUUAAGUGGGAAACGAUGUGGGAAGGCCCAGACAGCCAGGAUGUUGGCUUAGAAGCAGCCAUCAUUUAAAGAAAGCGUAAUAGCUCACUGGUCGAGUCGGCCUGCGCGGAAGAUGUAACGGGGCUAAACCAUGCACCGAAGCUGCGGCAGCGACGCUGAUGCGUUGUUGGGUAGGGGAGCGUUCUGUAAGCCUGCGAAGGUGUGCUGUGAGGCAUGCUGGAGGUAUCAGAAGUGCGAAUGCUGACAUAAGUAACGAUAAAGCGGGUGAAAAGCCCGCUCGCCGGAAGACCAAGGGUUCCUGUCCAACGUUAAUCGGGGCAGGGUGAGUCGACCCCUAAGGCGAGGCCGAAAGGCGUAGUCGAUGGGAAACAGGUUAAUAUUCCUGUACUUGGUGUUACUGCGAAGGGGGGACGGAGAAGGCUAUGUUGGCCGGGCGACGGUUGUCCCGGUUUAAGCGUGUAGGCUGGUUUUCCAGGCAAAUCCGGAAAAUCAAGGCUGAGGCGUGAUGACGAGGCACUACGGUGCUGAAGCAACAAAUGCCCUGCUUCCAGGAAAAGCCUCUAAGCAUCAGGUAACAUCAAAUCGUACCCCAAACCGACACAGGUGGUCAGGUAGAGAAUACCAAGGCGCUUGAGAGAACUCGGGUGAAGGAACUAGGCAAAAUGGUGCCGUAACUUCGGGAGAAGGCACGCUGAUAUGUAGGUGAAGUCCCUCGCGGAUGGAGCUGAAAUCAGUCGAAGAUACCAGCUGGCUGCAACUGUUUAUUAAAAACACAGCACUGUGCAAACACGAAAGUGGACGUAUACGGUGUGACGCCUGCCCGGUGCCGGAAGGUUAAUUGAUGGGGUCAGCGCAAGCGAAGCUCUUGAUCGAAGCCCCGGUAAACGGCGGCCGUAACUAUAACGGUCCUAAGGUAGCGAAAUUCCUUGUCGGGUAAGUUCCGACCUGCACGAAUGGCGUAAUGAUGGCCAGGCUGUCUCCACCCGAGACUCAGUGAAAUUGAACUCGCUGUGAAGAUGCAGUGUACCCGCGGCAAGACGGAAAGACCCCGUGAACCUUUACUAUAGCUUGACACUGAACAUUGAGCCUUGAUGUGUAGGAUAGGUGGGAGGCUUUGAAGUGUGGACGCCAGUCUGCAUGGAGCCGGCCUUGAAAUACCACCCUUUAAUGUUUGAUGUUCUAACGUUGACCCGUGAUCCGGGUUGCGGACAGUGUCUGGUGGGUAGUUUGACUGGGGCGGUCUCCUCCUAAAGAGUAACGGAGGAGCACGAAGGUUGGCUAAUCCUGGUCGGACAUCAGGAGGUUAGUGCAAUGGCAUAAGCCAGCUUGACUGCGAGCGUGACGGCGCGAGCAGGUGCGAAAGCAGGUCAUAGUGAUCCGGUGGUUCUGAAUGGAAGGGCCAUCGCUCAACGGAUAAAAGGUACUCCGGGGAUAACAGGCUGAUACCGCCCAAGAGUUCAUAUCGACGGCGGUGUUUGGCACCUCGAUGUCGGCUCAUCACAUCCUGGGGCUGAAGUAGGUCCCAAGGGUAUGGCUGUUCGCCAUUUAAAGUGGUACGCGAGCUGGGUUUAGAACGUCGUGAGACAGUUCGGUCCCUAUCUGCCGUGGGCGCUGGAGAACUGAGGGGGGCUGCUCCUAGUACGAGAGGACCGGAGUGGACGCAUCACUGGUGUUCGGGUUGUCAUGCCAAUGGCACUGCCCGGUAGCUAAAUGCGGAAGAGAUAAGUGCUGAAAGCAUCUAAGCACGAAACUUGCCCCGAGAUGAGUUCUCCCUGACUCCUUGAGAGUCCUGAAGGAACGUUGAAGACGACGACGUUGAUAGGCCGGGUGUGUAAGCGCAGCGAUGCGUUGAGCUAACCGGUACUAAUGAACCGUGAGGCUUAACCUU
rnacentral:rRNA from 3 species